rnacentral:rRNA from 1 species
GACAGAGGGUGCAAACGUUGUUCGGAAUUACUGGGCGUAAAGCGCGUGUAGGCGGUCUCGCAAGUCGGAUGUGAAAGCCCAGGGCUCAACCCUGGAAGUGCACUCGAUACUGCGAGGCUAGAGUCCCGGAGAGGAUGGUGGAACUCUCGGUGUAGAGGUGAAAUUCGUAGAUAUCGAGAAGAACACCGGGUGGCGAAGGCGGCCAUCUGGGACGGUGACUGACGCUGAGACGCGAAAGCGUGGGGGAGCAAACAGG